ACGAACGCUGGCGGCGUGCUUCACACCUGCAGGUCGAACGGAAAGGCCCUGCUUUUGUGGGGUGCUCGAGUGGCGAACGGGUGAGUAACACGUGAGUAACCUGCCCUUGACUUUGGGAUAACUUCAGGAAACUGGGGCUAAUACCGGAUAGGAGCUCCUGCUGCAUGGUGGGGGUUGGAAAGUUUCGGCGGUUGGGGAUGGACUCGCGGCUUAUCAGCUUGUUGGUGGGGUAGUGGCUUACCAAGGCUUUGACGGGUAGCCGGCCUGAGAGGGUGACCGGCCACAUUGGGACUGAGAUACGGCCCAGACUCCUACGGGAGGCAGCAGUGGGGAAUAUUGCACAAUGGGCGGAAGCCUGAUGCAGCAACGCCGCGUGCGGGAUGACGGCCUUCGGGUUGUAAACCGCUUUCGCCUGUGACGAAGCGUGAGUGACAGUAAUGGGUAAAGAAGCACCGGCUAACUACGUG
rnacentral:rRNA from 1 species